UACGGAGGGUGCAAGCGUUGUUCGGAAUCACUGGGCGUAAAGCGCACGUAGGCGGAUUUCUAAGUCAGGGGUGAAAUCCUGGAGCUCAACUCCAGAACUGCCUUUGAUACUGGGAAUCUCGAGUCCGGGAGAGGUGAGUGGAACUGCGAGUGUAGAGGUGAAAUUCGUAGAUAUUCGCAAGAACACCAGUGGCGAAGGCGGACUCACUGGCCCGAUACUGACGCUGAGGCACGAAAGCGUGGGGAGCAAACAGGG
rnacentral:rRNA from 1 species